UAAUCCUCAUUUAUUGCAUUA
rnacentral:miRNA from 1 species